rnacentral:lncRNA from 1 species
CAUCUCUAGACCUUGUGGGGUAUAUAAUUUGAUGAAUUAAUUUAUAUACACAUAGGUGUGUAACCAUCACCUCUGUGCAUCUCUAGACCUUGGUUUCAAAACUUAGAUGCAUGAAACAGUGGCUCUCUACCUCUCAGCUCCUAAUCCCUGGGUAACUACUAGUCUCUGGAUUUUACUAAUGUGGGAAUUAAUCAUUCUUACCAGAUGACUGCUGGGAGUUAUGUUUGUUGUUUCCCAGAUCCAAAACCACAUUGCAGUACGUGCUCUGCAUAAUGGAUAAGGCUCCAUUAAGCGUCCUUCCUUCAGAGUGUAAGCCACAGGGAGCUUUCCCAUUAGAAGGCACUGGAGGGAUAAUACAAAGAAAGGGGCUCUCCUGUUUCUAGCGUCAGCAGUGUGCCUCUGUCUCCGUUUCUGUGUCUCUGUCUCUCUGUCAUCACUCCCCCCCCAAUGUGUGUGAGUUCACUUGUAAGUUUGUUGCCUACUGCUGCCUAUAUGUCUGAGAUCUGUCAGGCCUUUUAAUUCUUCAGCUGGCAGAGAGAAUGGACCUGAUCAAGAUCCUAGAUAGUAGCAGUUUCAUCAUCACUGCAGAGAUACUCUGAGAGGAUCUCUCCACCCAUCCUCUUUCAUCUAGAAGUGCAAAGCUGGAAAAGACAUGUCCUUUAGAAAGAGCAGCAGCUCCAUCCCUUUCAGCUCUGCCAUAGAGAGCGGUGAUUAAAUUGGGUUCAAAUCAAUCAGAAUGGAUGGUGAAACAAGAGUGGAUGCUGGGACCAGUCAGAAGAGAGGCUGAAGGAAACAACAGAGACACUGGCUAGCCAUCUGUGACGGUUCCAGCAGAUGCCAGCUCUGUAGCUGUGGGAGCCCAGAUUUGAGAUAUUAGGAAGGACUGUGGCAGAGUCCCUGCUGCUCUGACUUCAGUCAAAUCUUCCCAGCUCAUUGAUGGCCUAUAAAGAGAAUGAAAUAACUGGCAAGCAGCUAGGAAAAUUUCUAGAAUAUUUCCAGUGAUGCCUACUCCUUUGCUAGCCUUACCUAUUUCUAUAUAGCAAUACAGUUUUUUUUAGGCUACCAGGCCAAAGAAGUGAGUCACUAAUUUCCCAUUUUACUCCAACAGUCCCCAUUUGCAUUACUAGAAAAUCCUGGCCACUCCACUUUCAGGGUCUAUAAAGCACUGCCUCCCGGGAAUGGUCGGCAGCCCCGUUAGCAGAAUACAGCUGAGAAGGUAUUUACAUUCUAUCGGGAGUCUUGAAGGAGGGAGACUCGUCUCAAUCCUGCACCAUAAUGAUUUAUGCAGUCGGGAACUGCGGCAGCCAGCGGCAAUUAGGAGAAGAGAUGGGUGCAGCAAGGGCAAGAGAAACGGUGCUGAUGAG